AGGUCGAGCUAAUCUCCAAAAGCCAUCUCAGUUCGGAUUGCACUCUGCAACUCGAGUGCAUGAAGUUGGAAUCGCUAGUAAUCGCAGAUCAGCAUGCUGCGGUGAAUACGUUCCCGGGCCUUGUACACACCGCCCGUCACACCAUGGGAGUUGGUUCUACCCGAAGGUAGUGCGCUAACCGCAAGGAGGCAGCUAACCACGGUAGGGUCAGCGACUGGGGUGAAGUCGUAACAAGGUAGCCGUAGGGGAACC
rnacentral:rRNA from 1 species